CCCCUUACCUGGCAGGGGUGAUACCAUGAUGACAAAGGUGGUUUCCCCAGGGUGAGGCUCACUCAUUGCAUUACGGGUAUGCUGACCUCUGCAAUUUCCCCAAAUCUGAGAAAAUUGAUUGCGUAGUUUAUGGUAGUGGGGGACUGUGUUCACGUUCUCCCCUG